CUCCACUUUAGCUGCUGCAGAUGCUGUUUGAAGAAGCUCUGCCCCUCAGCUGCUCUGAUCCUGUGCUUAGCACUCUUAGCCUGGUGCAGGGCCUGCUGUCUGCUCACUCUCACCAUGUCCUGCCCAGGGCCUGACCCUCCUGAGGGGCCCGGGACCCAGCGUGUGUGGCAAGGGGCUCUACGGAUCCUACAGCUCCCAGGAGCCCCGAAGAAGAAAGAAACAAAUAAAAAAAGAAACAAAAAGAAUAAAGAAGAAUACGAAAAAGAAAACAAAGGAAGG
rnacentral:lncRNA from 10 species